rnacentral:rRNA from 1 species
UACGUAGGGUGCGAGCGUUGUCCGGAAUUAUUGGGCGUAAAGAGCUUGUAGGCGGUCUGUCGCGUCUGCUGUGAAAAUCCGGGGCUCAACCCCGGACUUGCAGUGGGUACGGGCAGACUAGAGUGUGGUAGGGGAGACUGGAAUUCCUGGUGUAGCGGUGAAAUGCGCAGAUAUCAGGAGGAACACCGGUGGCGAAGGCGGUGGUCUGGGCCGGCACUGACGCUGAGGAGCGAAAGCGUGGGGAGCAAACAGG